GAUGAACGCUGGCGGCGUGCCUAAUACAUGCAAGUCGAGCGGUAAGGCUUUCACAAUUUGCUGAAACGGUGAGACAGGUCGCGGAAUCUCGAAGAGAUUUCGCAUCUAAAACGAAGUGAUGAACUUCGGUCUACCACCAAUCCAAAUCUAGGCAGAGGAGGAGUUUGAGCAAAAUGUGAAAGUACACGAGCGGCGGACGGCUGAGUAACGCGUAGGAACAUACCCCAAAGUGAGGGAUAAGCACCGGAAACGGUGUCUAAUACCGCAUGUGCUCUUCGGAGUAAAGCUUUAUGCGCUUUGGGAAUGGCCUGCGUAUGAUUAGUUAGUUGGUGAGGUAAUGGCUCACCAAGACGAUGAUCAUUAGCUGGUCUGAGAGGAUGAUCAGCCAGACUGGGACUGAGACACGGCCCAGACUCCUACGGGAGGCAGCAGUAGGGAAUUUUCCACAAUGGGCGAAAGCCUGAUGGAGCAACGCCGCGUGCAGGAUGAAGGCUUUAGGGUCGUAAACUGCUUUUAUUUGUGACGAUUAUGACGGUAACAAAUGAAUAAGGACCUGCUAACUACGUGCCAGCAGCCGCGGUCAUACGUGGGGUCCAAGCGUUAUCCGGAAUUACUGGGCGUAAAGAGUUGCGUAGGUGGCAGAGUAAGUAGGUAGUGAAAGCGUCCCGCUCAACGGGAUAAACAUUAUCUAAACUGCUCAGCUUGAGCAUAGAAGAGGUAGCUGGAAUUUCUAGUGUAGGAGUGAAAUCCGUAGAUAUUAGAAGGAACACCGAUGGCGUAGGCAGGCUACUGGUCUAUUGCUGACACUAAGGCACGAAAGCGUGGGGAGCGAACUGGAUUAGAUACCCAGGUAGUCCACGCCGUAAACGAUGGAUGCUAGCUGUUAUCAGUAUCGACCCUGGUAGUAGCGAAGCUAACGCGUUAAGCAUCCCGCCUGUGGAGUACGAGCGCAAGCUUAAAACAUAAAGGAAUUGACGGGGACCCGCACAAGCGGUGGAGCGUGUUGUUUAAUUCGAUGGUAAGCGAAGAACCUUACCCAGGCUUGACAUCCUGCCAAGUUCGCCGAAAGGCGAGUGUGCCUUCGGGCCGCAGUGACAGGUGAUGCAUGGCCGUCGCCAGCUCGUGUCGUGAGAUGUUUGGUUAAGUCCAUUAACGAGCGCAACCCUUAUAGUUAGUUGUAUUUUUCUAGCUAGACUGCCCUGGUAACAGGGAGGAAGGAGGGGAUGAUGUCGGGUCAGUAUUUCCCUUACGUCUGGGGCUACAAACACGCUACAAUGGCCGGUACAAAGGGCUGCCAAAUCGCAAGACGGAGCAAAUCCCAUCAAAACCGGUCUCAGUUCGGAUUGGGGGCUGAAACUCGCCCCCAUGAAGUCGGAAUCGCUAGUAACGGUAGGUCAGCACACUACCGUGAAUACGUUCCCGGGUCUUGUACACACCGCCCGUCAAACCAUGAAAGUCACCAAUACCUGACGUCUAGUCUUAGACUGGCCUAAGGUAGGGGGGAUGAUUGGGGUU
rnacentral:rRNA from 1 species